rnacentral:misc_RNA from 1 species
UGCUGGUCUUCGCUGCUGCGAUGGCUCAUGCCGGCACGAAGGAGCGCGGCGCCGCGAUCACCGAUCCUGAAGUGUUGCGUGUCCUUGACGGCUCAGGACUGAGCCUCGCUCGCAUGCUCGGCGCGGAUUCUGUCGGAUCAAUCGCGGAGUUGUUCGCGCUGCCAUCGAUGGCCUUGCUGCAAGCCGCGACCGAUCGCGACUUCAA